rnacentral:rRNA from 1 species
UACGUAGGUGGCAAGCGUUGUCCGGAUUUACUGGGCGUAAAGAGCUCGUAGGCGGUUCGUCGCGUCGGCUGUGAAAACCCGGAGCUCAACUCCGGGCCUGCAGUCGAUACGGGCGGACUUGAGUGUUGCAGGGGAGACUGGAAUUCCUGGUGUAGCGGUGAAAUGCGCAGAUAUCAGGAGGAACACCGGUGGCGAAGGCGGGUCUCUGGGCAACUACUGACGCUGAGGAGCGAAAGCGUGGGGAGCGAACAGG